AAAAAAAAUCAAAUAAAACAUAAAUUAAUCCUAAUCAAAGUAAAACCCAGAUUAUUUGAAUCCAUGAAAAUCCAACAAGGAAUCAACAUUCUCAAAUCUCAAAUCCGUUUAAUGAUAAAUCAAAUUGGAAAAUAAAUUAAUAAAAAAAAGACAAAAGGAAAUUAAUAAGAGAAAAUGAAACCAAACACACACACACAUAUAUAUUUACAGAUUAUUUGAGGAAGACCCA
rnacentral:misc_RNA from 1 species